rnacentral:rRNA from 1 species
CAUCGAGACUCCUACGGGAGGCAGCAUGGGGAAUAUUGCACAAUGGGGGAAACCCUGAUGCAGCCAUGCCGCGUGUGUGAAGAAGGCCUUCGGGUUGUAAAGCACUUUCAGUAGGGAGGAAGGUAGUGUAGUUAACACCUGCACUAUUUGACGUUACCUACAGAAGAAGCACCGGCUAACUCCGUGCCAGCAGCCGCGGUAAUACGGAGGGUGCGAGCGUUAAUCGGAAUUACUGGGCGUAAAGCGCAUGCAGGCGGCCUGUUAAGUCAGAUGUGAAAGCCCCGGGGCUUAACCUCGGAAUUGCAUUUGAAACUGGCAGGCUAGAGUCUUGUAGAGGGGGUAGAAUUUCAGGUGUAGCGGUGAAAUGCGUAGAGAUCUGAAGGAAUACCAGUGGCGAAGGCGGCCCCCUGGACAAAGACUGACGCUCAGAUGCGAAAGCGUGGGGAGCAAACAGGAUUAGAUACCCUGGUAG